rnacentral:rRNA from 1 species
UACGGAGGGUGCAAGCGUUAUCCGGAAUCAUUGGGUUUAAAGGGUCCGUAGGCGGGCUAAUAAGUCAGAGGUGAAAUCCCACAGCUUAACUGUGGCACUGCCUUUGAUACUGUUAGUCUUGAGUGAUGGAGAGGUAGGCGGAAUUCCUCAUGUAGCGGUGAAAUGCACAGAUAUGAGGAGGAACUCCAACGGCGAAGGCACUUUACUGGGCUAUAACUGACACUCAGAGACGAAAGCUAGGGUAGCAAAUGGG